AUCUGAAUGGGGAAACCCGGCCUUUAUGGUCAUCACAUACUGAAUACAUAGGUAUGUGAAGCGAACGUGGCGAACUGAAACAUCUAAGUAGCUACAGGAAAAGAAAUCAACCGAGAUUCCCAAAGUAGUGGCGAGCGAAAUGGGAACAGCCUGCAAGAUUUAGCAUUGGUUAUAGUGGAAUGCUCUGGAAAGUGCAGCCAUAGAGGGUGAUAGCCCCUUACACGAAAUGACCGGUGUGGAACUAAGUUUGCGACAAGUAGGGCGGGACACGUGUAAUCCUGUCUGAACAUGGGGGGACCAUCCUCCAAGGCUAAAUACUCGUAAUCGACCGAUAGUGAACCAGUACCGUGAGGGAAAGGCGAAAAGAACCCCGGAAGGGGAGUGAAAUAGAUCCUGAAACCGUGUGCAUACAAACAGUAGGAGCGGACUUGUUCCGUGACUGCGUACCUUUUGUAUAAUGGGUCAGCGACUUACAUUCAGUGGCAAGCUUAACCGCAUAGGGAAGGCGUAGAGAAAUCGAGUCCGAAUAGGGCGUUCAGUCGCUGGGUGUAGACCCGAAACCAAGUGAUCUACUCAUGGCCAGGUUGAAGGUGCGGUAACACGCACUGGAGGACCGAACCCACUAAUGUUGAAAAAUUAGGGGAUGAGCUGUGGGUAGGGGUGAAAGGCUAAACAAACUUGGAAAUAGCUGGUUCUCUCCGAAAACUAUUUAGGUAGUGCCUCAAGUAUUACCUGCGGGAGUAGAGCACUGUUUUGGCUAGGGGGUCAUGGCGACUUACCNAACCAAUGCAAACUCCGAAUACCGCAGAGUACAGCUUGGGAGACGGAGCACCGGGUGCUAACGUCCGGACUCAAGAGGGAAACAACCCAGACCGCCAGCUAAGGUCCCUAAAAUUGGCUAAGUGGGAAACGAAGUGGGAAGGCUAAAACAGUCAGGAUGUUGGCUUAGAAGCAGCCAUCAUUUAAAGAAAGCGUAAUAGCUCACUGAUCGAGUCGUCCUGCGCGGAAGAUGUAACGGGGCUAAGCCAGUUACCGAAGCUGCGGAUUUGCAAUUUAUUGCAAGUGGUAGGAGAGCGUUCUGUAAGCCUGUGAAGGUGCGUCGUAAAGCGUGCUGGAGGUAUCAGAAGUGCGAAUGCUGACAUGAGUAGCGUUAAAGGGGGUGAAAAGCCCCCUCGCCGUAAGCGCAAGGUUUUCUACGCAACGUUCAUCGGCGUAGAGUGAGUCGGCCCCUAAGGCGAGGCAGAGAUGCGUAGUUGAUGGGAAACAGGUAAAUAUUCCUGUACCGAUGUGUAGUGCGAUGUGGGGACGGAGAAGGUUAGCUCAGCAGACUGUUGGAUAUGUCUGUUCAAGCCUGUAGUCGUGCCUGGUAGGUAAAUCCGCCGGGCUUAGAUGAGGGGUGAUAACGAGGAUGCUUGCAUCCGAAGUGAGUGAUACCCUGCUUCCAGGAAAAGCCACUAAGCUUCAGCUACACACGACCGUACCGCAAACCGACACUGGUGCGCGAGAUGAGUAUUCUAAGGCGCUUGAGAGAACUCAGGAGAAGGAACUCGGCAAAUUGACACCGUAACUUCGGAAGAAGGUGUGCCUUUAGUAUGUGAACCUGAACAAGGGGAGCAGAACGAGGCCUCAGAGAAUCGGUGGCUGCGACUGUUUAAUAAAAACACAGCACUCUGCAAACACGAGAGUGGACGUAUAGGGUGUGACGCCUGCCCGGUGCUGGAAGAUUAAAUGAUGGGGUGCAAGCUCUUGAUUGAAGUCCCAGUAAACGGCGGCCGUAACUAUAACGGUCCUAAGGUAGCGAAAUUCCUUGUCGGGUAAGUUCCGACCUGCACGAAUGGCGUAACGAUGGCCACACUGUCUCCUCCUGAGGCUCAGCGAAGUUGAAAUGUUUGUGAUGAUGCAAUCUCCCCGCGGAAAGACGGAAAGACCCCAUGAACCUUUACUGUAGCUUUGUAUUGGAUUUUGAACAGACCUGUGUAGGAUAGGUGGGAGGCUUUGAAGCCGGAACGCUAGUUUCGGUGGAGCCAACGUUGAAAUACCACCCUGGUGUGUUUGAGGUUCUAACCUAGGCCCAUUAUCUGGAUCGGGGACAGUGCAUGGUAGGCAGUUUGACUGGGGCGGUCUCCUCCCAAAGCGUAACGGAGGAGUUCGAAGGUACGCUAGUUACGGUCGGACAUCGUGAUGAUAGUGCAAUGGCAUAAGCGUGCUUAACUGCGAGACUGACAAGUCGAGCAGAUACGAAAGUAGGACAUAGUGAUCCGGUGGUUCUGUAUGGAAGGGCCAUCGCUCAACGGAUAAAAGGUACUCUGGGGAUAACAGGCUGAUACCGCCCAAGAGUUCAUAUCGACGGCGGUGUUUGGCACCUCGAUGUCGGCUCAUCUCAUCCUGGGGCUGUAGCCGGUCCCAAGGGUAUGGCUGUUCGCCAUUUAAAGAGGUACGUGAGCUGGGUUUAAAACGUCGUGAGACAGUUUGGUCCUUAUCUUCCGUGGGCGCUGCAGAUUUGAGGAAGCCUGCUCCUAGUACGAGAGGACCGGAGUGGACACACCUCUGGUGUACCGGUUGUCACGCCAGUGGCAUUGCCGAGUAGCUAUGUGUGGAAGAGAUAACCGCUGAAAGCAUCUAAGC
rnacentral:rRNA from 1 species